CCCUUAGAUGUUCUGGGCCGCACGCGUGCUACACUGGGUGGAUCAGCGGGUCAGGUUGCGCGAAAGUGUUUCCUAAUCUUUAAACCCGCUCGUGAUGGGGAUUGACGGUUGCAAUUUUCCGUCAUGAACGAGGAAUACCUUGUAAGCGCGGGUCAUCAUCCCGCGCUGAAUACGUCCCUGCCCUUUGUACACACCGCCCGUCGCUCCUACCGAUUGAGUGGUCCGGUGAGGCUUUGGGAUCUGAGCGGAAAGAGCGUUUCGCUGUUUCUGCCCGGAAAACUCAGUCGAACCUUAUCAUUUAGAGGAAGGAGAAGUCGUAACA
rnacentral:rRNA from 1 species